AUUGAACGCUGGCGGCAGGCCUAACACAUGCAAGUCGAGCGGUAGAGAGGUGCUUGCACCUCUUGAGAGCGGCGGACGGGUGAGUAAUGCCUAGGAAUCUGCCUGGUAGUGGGGGAGAACGCUCGGAAACGGACGCUAAUACCGCAUACGUCCUACGGUAGAACGCAGGGGACCUUCGGGCCUUGCGCUAUCAGAUGAGCCGAGGUCGGAUUAGCUAGUUGGUGAGGUAAUGGCUCACCAAGGCAACGAUCCGUAACUGGUCUGAGAGGAUGAUCAGUCACACUGGAAUUGAGACACGGUCCAGACUCCUACGGGAGGCAGCAGUGGGGAAUAUUGGACAAUGGGCGAAAGCCUGAUCCAGCCAUGCCGCGUGUGUGAAGAAGGUCUUCGGAUUGUAAAGCACUUUAAGUUGGGAGGAAGGGUCGUUACCUAAUACGUGACGAUUUUGGCGUUACCGACAGAAUAAGCACCGGCUAACUCUGUGCCAGCCGCCGCCGUAAGAC
rnacentral:rRNA from 1 species